rnacentral:rRNA from 1 species
CCUACGGGAGGCAGCAGUGAGGAAUAUUGGUCAAUGGCCGGAAGGCUGAACCAGCCAUGCCGCGUGAAGGUCAGUGCCCUAUGGGCGUUAAACUUCUUUUGUGCGGGAGCAAUAAUGGUCACGUGUGGCCAGACGAGAGUACCGUACGAAUAAGCAUCGGCUAACUCCGUGCCAGCAGCCGCGGUAAUACGGGGGAUGCAAGCGUUAGCCGGAUUUAUUGGGUUUAAAGGGUGCGUAGGUUGUGAGGUAAGUCAGCGGUGAAAUGCCCCCGCUCAACGGGGUGAAGUGCCAUUGAUACUGCCAUGCUGGAAUGCGGAUGCCGUGGGAGGAAUGUGUGGUGUAGCGGUGAAAUGCAUAGAUAUCACACAGAACACCGAUUGCGAAGGCAUCUCACGAAUCCGCGAUUGACGCUGAUGCACGAAAGCGUGGGUAUCAAACAGGAUUAGAUACCCUAGUAGUC